rfam:Gossypium raimondii Chr05_contig_1344, whole genome shotgun sequence.
UAUUAAAAAUUUUACUGUUAAAAGCUAGUGAGACUAAUAGAAUAACCUAACAAUAACACAUAAUGUGUUACGUAUACCUAAUCUUGACAUAUAGGAACCUGUUUUUAACAGUAGAAAUGGAUAAAAUUUUUAAUA